rnacentral:piRNA from 1 species
UAUUUUCCUUACCAAAUGGGUGCCAGU